GAGGUUGUAGUUUGUGCUUU
rnacentral:miRNA from 1 species